rnacentral:rRNA from 1 species
GAUGAACGCUGGCGGCGUGCCUAAUACAUGCAAGUCGAGCGCAGCGAGGACGGGUGAGUACCAAGUGGUUACACUCCUAUACCACCGGGAUAACUUCGGGUAACCGGAGCUAAACCGGCUACUUAUGUGUGGAUCCUCGCUGCAUUCGCUAGUUGGUAAGGUAACGGCUUAGCAAGGCAACGAGGCAUAGCCGACCUGAGAGGGUGAGCGGCCAGACGGGAACUGAGACACGGUCCAGACUCCUACGGGAGGCAGCAGUAGGGAAGCUUCCGCAAUGGGCGAAAGCCUGACCGAGCAACGCCGCGUGAGUGAUGAAGGUCUUCGGAUCGUAAAACUCUGUUAUUAGAGAAGCGGUACCUAAUCAGAAAGCCACGGCUAACUACGUGCCAGCCGCCGCGGUAAUAC